GGCCCAAAUCUGAAGUAAGGUAGAUUAGUAAGCAGCUGAUCCCACUAUUGUACUGUACUUCGAAAUUGGGCCC
rfam:Haemonchus contortus, ISE/inbred ISE, WGS project CAVP01000000 data, contig: Hcontortus_36016